rnacentral:rRNA from 1 species
GACCCGUCUUGAAACACGGACCAAGGAGUCUAACAUGUGCGCAAGUCGUCGAGAAAUUAUCAAACUAAACUCGCGAGGCGCAAUGAAAGUGAAGCGGCCCCGAUGAGGGUGCAUCCGCGAGGGGUGAUCCCGUCUCGAACAGAGCGGGCGCAACCCCUGGGCGUCCGAAUGCUCGCGAGAUCUUUCCCCCUUAAAAGGGUUUGGUCGAGUCGGCCGGACGAACCUAGAGCGCACACGUUGGGACCCGAAAGAUGGUGACCUAUGCCUGGCCAGGACGAAGCCAGGGGAAACCCUGGUGGAGGUCCGCAGCGAUUCUGACGUGCAAAUCGAUCGUCGGAGUUGGGUAUAGGGGCGAAAGACUAAUCGAACCAUCUAGUAGCUGGUUCCCCCCGAAGUUUCCCUCAGGAUAGCUGGUGCUCGCAAAGAGAACAAACGGAGUUUCAUCCGGUAAAGCGAAUGAUUAGAGGCCUUGGGGUCGAAACGACCUCAACCUAUUCUCAAACUUUCAAUGGGUGAGAAGCCCGGCCUUUUUCCUUGAUUGAGGCCGCGGCAAUUGAUUUGAAUCUGAGCGCCCAGUGGGCCAUUUUUGGUAAGCAGAACUGGCGCUGUGGGAUGAACCAAACGCCCGGUUAAGGCGCCUAAACGACGCACAUUUCGGAUCCCACGAAAAGGAGUUGGUUGCUAAAGACAGCAGGACGGUGGCCAUGGAGGUCGGAAUCCGCUAAGGAGUGUGU